GCGGGGAGGAAGGCGAUGAGGUUAAUAACCUUGUCGAUUGACGUUACCCGCAGAAGAAGCACCGGCUAACUCCGUGCCAGCAGCCGCGGUAAUACGGAGGGUGCAAGCGUUAAUCGGAAUUACUGGGCGUAAAGCGCACGCAGGCGGUCUGUCAAGUCGGAUGUGAAAUCCCCGGGCUCAACCUGGGAACUGCAUUCGAAACUGGCAGGCUAGAGUCUUGUAGAGGGGGGUAGAAUUCCAGGUGUAGCGGUGAAAUGCGUAGAGAUCUGGAGGAAUACCGGUGGCGAAGGCGGCCCCCUGGACAAAGACUGACGCUCAGGUGCGA
rnacentral:rRNA from 1 species